UGCAAGUCGAGGGGCAGCAUUGGAGUAGCAAUACUUCAGAUGGCGACCGGCGCACGGGUGAGUAACACGUAUCCAACCUGCCGCUUACUCGGGGAUAGCCUUUCGAAAGAAAGAUUAAUACCCGAUGGUAUAAAGAGUUCGCAUGUUCUCUUUAUUAAAGAAUUUCGGUAAGCGAUGGGGAUGCGUUCCAUUAGAUAGUUGGCGGGGUAACGGCCCACCAAGUCUACGAUGGAUAGGGGUUCUGAGAGGAAGGUCCCCCACAUUGGAACUGAGACACGGUCCAAACUCCUACGGGAGGCAGCAGUGAGGAAUAUUGGUCAAUGGACGCGAGUCUGAACCAGCCAAGUAGCGUGAAGGAUGACUGCCCUAUGGGUUGUAAACUUCUUUUAUAAGGGAAUAAAGUGAGGGACGUGUCCCUUUUUGUAUGUACCUUAUGAAUAAGGAUCGGCUAACUCCGUGCCAGCCGCUGC
rnacentral:rRNA from 1 species